AGGUAGCCGUGACAAUGGACAUGAGGUGAGAGGGAAACAUCUGGGCCUCAGCCGUCCUCUGUCUUCUGCUGGCAUUGGGUGAAUCUCAUCAGGCUCAAUCUUUGCUCUUCUUUUGAUUAUGUUUGUGGCUUUAAAUAAAUCAAUGAAAAAAAUGUUCAACAUCUGUAGUCAUCAAGGAGAUACAAAUUGAAACAGCAUCUGAUUGGGGGCCUGGUGCAGGAGAGAAUCUGCAAGACAGUGGGAAGAGAUUCACUCUUCUCCAAAGACAGAACAUCAAUCAGAAUUAAACUCUGUGACAUCCUGGACCCCUAGCCUAUGGAAAGCCUCUCUACUCUGUGCCACACUGAAAACAACAGUGCCAUUUCUCCCCACCAGCUGGCUCCAAAGCUGCUUGUGUGAAACUGCAGAAAAAACAGAAUUGGGAAGAAAAGAGAAGACAGCCAUAUGAUGUAACUCAAAAGAUACCAUUUGUAAAAGACAGGUUAUCUAGGAGAAUCAGGUUAGUUCUGACAUAUAAAUCAAAAUUACUUACAUUUUAGGGGUCUGAAAUUCGAUAAACUUCCAAAGGCUAAAUGCUACAGUAUUCCAAACUAUCCCGAUUUUUGAACACGCUUGUAGAUUUUCCCAGAGACAAGUUACCCCUACUUUUACCUCAUUUUCUAGAAGCUAAAAAAGAUAACUAGUUAUUGGAGUAGCUGAGGAAAAGCACCUGCGUUUUUAUUUGCAGGACCUGAAAAAAAUUAAGGUCAAGAAGAGUUUUAAAUUUUAUUCUGUUUAUUUCUAAUGCUAUGCAAUUUUUAUCCUGUUAGAAUUUUUUUCAUAUUGGAGGUAAUUAUAGUUUUUCAUCUUGAAUAUUGCUAAUGCCAGGGGC